UGAGUAACACGUAUCCAACCUGCCGUCUACUCUUGGACAGCCUUCUGAAAGGAAGAUUAAUACAAGAUGGCAUCAUGAGUCCGCAUGUUCACAUGAUUAAAGGUAUUCCGGUAGACGAUGGGGAUGCGUUCCAUUAGAUAGUAGGCGGGGUAACGGCCCACCUAGUCUUCGAUGGAUAGGGGUUCUGAGAGGAAGGUCCCCCACAUUGGUACUGAGACACGGUCCAA
rnacentral:rRNA from 1 species